rnacentral:rRNA from 1 species
GAUGAACGCUCGCUACAGGCUUAACACAUGCAAGUCGAGGGGCAGCAUGGUCUUAGCUUGCUAAGGCCGAUGGCGACCGGCGCACGGGUGAGUAACACGUAUCCAACCUGCCGUCUACUCUUGGACAGCCUUCUGAAAGGAAGAUUAAUACAAGAUGGCAUCAUGAGUCCGCAUGUUCACAUGAUUAAAGGUAUUCCGGUAGACGAUGGGGAUGCGUUCCAUUAGAUAGUAGGCGGGGUAACGGCCCACCUAGUCUUCGAUGGAUAGGGGUUCUGAGAGGAAGGUCCCCCACAUUGGAACUGAGACACGGUCCAAACUCCUACGGGAGGCAGCAGUGAGGAAGAUUGGUCAAGGGGCGCAGGCCUGAACCAGCCAAGUAGCGUGAAGGAUGACUGCCCUAUGGGUUGUAAACUUCUUUUAUAAAGGAAUAAAGUCGGGUAUGUAUACCCGUUUGCAUGUACUUUAUGAAUAAGGAUCGGCUAACUCCGUG